AGUGAACGCUGGCGGUAGGCCUAACACAUGCAAGUCGAACGGCAGCACAGUAAGAGCUUGCUCUUACGGGUGGCGAGUGGCGGACGGGUGAGGAAUACAUCGGAAUCUACUUUUUCGUGGGGGAUAACGUAGGGAAACUUACGCUAAUACCGCAUACGACCUACGGGUGAAAGCAGGGGAUCUUCGGACCUUGCGCGAUUGAAUGAGCCGAUGUCGGAUUAGCUAGUUGGCGGGGUAAAGACCCACCAAGUCGACGAUCCGUAGCUGGUCUGAGAGGAUGGUAAGCGACACUGGAAGUGGGACACGGUCAAGAGUCCUACGGGAGGCAGCAGUGGGGAAUAUUGGACAAUAGGCGCAAGCAUGAUCCAGCCAUAGCGCGUGGGUGAAGAAGGCCUUCGGGUUGUGAAGCCCGUUUGUUGGGAAAGAAAAGCAGCAGGUUAAUACCCCGCUGUUCUGACGGUAACCAAAGAAUAAGCACCGGCUAACUUCGUG
rnacentral:rRNA from 1 species